rnacentral:rRNA from 1 species
AAUGAACGCUAGCGGCAGGCUUAAUACAUGCAAGUCGAGGGGUCAGCAAUGACACCGGCGGACGGGUGCGUAACGCGUAUGCAACCUACCUACAUCAGGGGGAUAGCCCUAGGAAACUGGGAUUAACACCGCAUAAUAGUAUUGAUGGCAUCAUUGAUAUUUGAAAUAUUUAUAGGAUGUAGAUGGGCAUGCGUAAGAUUAGCUAGUUGGUAAGGUAACGGCUUACCAAGGCUACGAUCUUUAGGGGCUCUGAGAGGAGUAUCCCCCACACUGGCACUGAGAUACGGGCCAGACUCCUACGGGAGGCAGCAGUAGGGAAUAUUGGGCAAUGGAGGCGACUCUGACCCAGCCAUGCCGCGUGCAGGAAGACGGCCCUCUGGGUUGUAAACUGCUUUUGAAUGGGAAGAAUGUGAUGUUUGCGAGCAUUAAUGACGGUACCAUUAGAAUAAGCCACGGCUAACUACGUGCCAGCCGCCGCCGUAAGAC